rnacentral:tRNA from 3 species
CACGGGAUAGAGUAAAUGGUUAACUCAUUAGGUUCAUGUUCUAAAGUUAUAGGUUCAAGUCCUAUUCCCGUAA